rnacentral:rRNA from 1 species
AACGAACGAUGGCGGCAUGCCUAACACAUGCAAGUCGAACGAAGGCUUCGGCCUUAGUGGCGCACGGGUGAGUAACGCGUGGGAAACUGCCUAUUGGUGGGGAAUAACGACGGGAAACUGUCGCUAAUACCGCAUAAGCCCUUCGGGGGAAAGAUUUAUCGCCGAUAGAGGUGCCCGCGUCCGAUUAGCUAGUUGGUGAGGUAAUGGCUCACCAAGGCGACGAUCGGUAGCUGGUAUGAGAGGAUGAUCAGCCACACUGGGACUGAGACAAGGCCCAGACUCCUACGGGGGGCCGCAGUGGGGAAUCUUGGAAAAUGGGCGAAAGCCUGAUCCAGCAAUGCCGCGUGAGUGAUGUAGGCCUUAGGGUUGUAGAGCUCUUUCGGGUGGGACGAUGAUGACGGUACCACCAGAAGAAGCCCCGGCUAACUUCGUGCCAGCCGCCGCGGUAA